ACAAUGGAGAGUUUGAUCCUGGCUCAGGAUGAACGCUAGCGGCAGGCCUAAUACAUGCAAGUCGAGGGGUAUAGCGGUGCUUGCACUGCUAGAGACCGGCGCACGGGUGCGUAACGCGUAUGCAACCUACCUUUAUCUGGGGGAUAGCCCGGAGAAAUCCGGAUUAAUACCGCAUAAAAUCACAGUACUGCAUAGUACAAUGAUCAAACAUUUAUGGGAUGAAGAUGGGCAUGCGUGUCAUUAGCUAGUUGGCGGGGUAACGGCCCACCAAGGCGACGAUGACUAGGGGAUCUGAGAGGAUGGCCCCCCACACUGGUACUGAGACACGGACCAGACUCCUACGGGAGGCAGCAGUAAGGAAUAUUGGUCAAUGGAGGCAACUCUGAACCAGCCAUGCCGCGUGCAGGAAGACUGCCCUAUGGGUUGUAAACUGCUUUUACUCGGGAAUAAACCUAGAUACGUGUAUUUAGCUGAAUGUACCGAGGGAAUAAGGAUCGGCUAACUCCGUGCCAGCAGCCGCGGUAAUACGGAGGAUCCAAGCGUUAUCCGGAUUUAUUGGGUUUAAAGGGUGCGUAGGCGGCCUGUUAAGUCAGGGGUGAAAGACGGUAGCUCAACUAUCGCAGUGCCCUUGAUACUGAUGGGCUUGAAUGGACUAGAGGUAGGCGGAAUGAGACAAGUAGCGGUGAAAUGCAUAGAUAUGUCUCAGAACACCGAUUGCGAAGGCAGCUUACUAUGGUCAUAUUGACGCUGAGGCACGAAAGCGUGGGGAUCAAACAGGAUUAGAUACCCUGGUAGUCCACGCCCUAAACGAUGAACACUCGCUGUUGGCGAUACACAGUCAGCGGCUAAGCGAAAGCGUUAAGUGUUCCACCUGGGGAGUACGCCCGCAAGGGUGAAACUCAAAGGAAUUGACGGGGGCCCGCACAAGCGGAGGAGCAUGUGGUUUAAUUCGAUGAUACGCGAGGAACCUUACCCGGGCUUGAAAGUUAGUGAAUGAUCUAGAGAUAGAUCAGUGAGCAAUCACACGAAACUAGGUGCUGCAUGGCUGUCGUCAGCUCGUGCCGUGAGGUGUUGGGUUAAGUCCCGCAACGAGCGCAACCCCUAUGUUUAGUUGCCAGCACGUUAAGGUGGGGACUCUAAACAGACUGCCUGUGCAAACAGAGAGGAAGGAGGGGACGACGUCAAGUCAUCAUGGCCCUUACGUCCGGGGCUACACACGUGCUACAAUGGACGGUACAGAGGGCAGCUAGCCAGCAAUGGUAUGCGAAUCUCACAAAGCCGUUCACAGUUCGGAUUGGGGUCUGCAACUCGACCCCAUGAAGUUGGAUUCGCUAGUAAUCGCGUAUCAGCAAUGACGCGGUGAAUACGUUCCCGGGCCUUGUACACACCGCCCGUCAAGCCAUGGAAGUUGGGGGUACCUAAAGUAUGUAACCGCAAGGAGCGUCCUAGGGUAAAACCGAUAACUGGGGCUAAGUCGUAACAAGGUAGCCGUACCGGAAGGUGCGGCUGGAAUACCUCCUUU
rnacentral:rRNA from 1 species